CAUGUAUAUUCUAUAAAAAUAUAUAUUUGCCCCAUACAUGAACAAAACAGUAACUGAGUGAUGUCUAUAAUUUAACACGUAUAUUGACCUGGCGUGGUGGCUCACGCCUGUAAUCCCAGCACUUUGGGAGUCUGAGGUGGGUGGAUCACUUGAGGUCAGGAGUUGGAGGUUGUAAUGAGCUGAGAUUGUGCCACUGCACCCCAGCCUGGGCAACAGAGCGAGACUCCGUCUCAAAACAAACAAACAAAAACAUGUAUAUUGUCGUAAAGAUGCUGAGGCCUGCUCAAGCCCUACAAAGAGAACGUUUCUACGAUGAUUAAAGGAAGAGGCAUGUCUAUACAUAGAAUGCAAAUUAUUUAAAAAUUUUUUCAGGUCAUUUUGUCAUUAUUAUUAUUAUUAUUAUUAUUAUUUGAGUCUCUCUAUCGCAUAGGCUGUAGUGAGAGCACGAUCUCAGCUCACUGCAACCUCCGCCUCCUGGGUUUAAGCAAUUCUCCUGCCUCAGCCUCCCAAGUAGCUGGGAUUACAGGCCUGCACCACCACAUCCGGUUAAUUUUUGUAUUUUUAGUAUAGACGGGGUUUCACCAUGUUGGCCAGGCUGGUCUCGAACUCCUGGCUUCAAGUGAUCCACUCGCCUCGGCCUCCCAAAGUGCUGGAAUUACAGGCGUGAGCCACGGUGCCUGGCCUAAUGCAUGUAAUGUUUGAUCCCAUGUUUUUAUUUCUAGGAAUUUUUGAAUUAUAAAACUAUCCUUAUCACUGAGACCUUAGCUG
rnacentral:lncRNA from 10 species